rnacentral:rRNA from 1 species
ACUCAAAGGAAUUGACGGGGGCCCGCACAAGCAGUGGAGCGUGUGGUUUAAUUCGACGCAACGCGCAGAACCUUACCAGGGCUUGACAUCGUGGUGACAGCCGAAGAAACUCGGUCUUCCGUAGCAAUACGGACGCCAUGACAGGUGUUGCAUGGUUGUCGUCAGCUCGUGUCGUGAGAUGUUGGGUUAAGUCCCGCAACGAGCGCAACCCCUAUUCAGUGUUGCAAACAGGUAAAGCUGUGCACUCACUGGAGACUGCCGGAGACGAUCCGGAGGAAGGUGGGGAUGACGUCAAAUCAUCAUGGCCCUUAUGCCCUGGGCCACACACGCGCUACAAUGGCCGGUACAACGGGCAGCAAUAGAGCGAUCUGGAGCGAAUCCCUUAAAGCCGGUCUCAGUUGGAAUCGGGGGCUGAAACUCGUCCCCGUGAACAUGGAAUUGCUAGUAAUCGCGGAUCAGCCACGCCGCGGUGAAUACGUUCCCGGGCCUUGUACACACCGCCCGU